rnacentral:rRNA from 1 species
GCCCGCUCAGAACUUAAAGGAAUUGACGGGGCCCGCACAAGCGGUGGAGUAUGUGGUUUAAUUCGAUGCAACGCGAAGAACCUUACCUGGUCUUGACAUCCCGGAGACCCUUAGGAAACUAGGGGGUGCUUCCAUCUGGAAGAAUCUGGAGACAGGUGCUGCAUGGCUGUCGUCAGCUCGUGUCGUGAGAUGUUGGGUUAAGUCCCGCAACGAGCGCAACCCUUGCCUUUAGUUGCCAGCAGUUCGGCUGGGCACUCUAAAGGGACUGCCGGUGUUAAACCGGAGGAAGGUGGGGAUGACGUCAAGUCCUCAUGGCCUUUAUGACCAGGGCUACACACGUACUACAAUGGCCGAUACAAAGGGCAGCGACACUGCGAGGUGAAGCCAAUCCCGUAAAAUCGGUCUCAGUCCGGAUUGGAGUCUGCAACUCGACUCCAUGAAGUUGGAAUCGCUAGUAAUCGUGGAUCAGCAUGCCACGGUGAAUACGUUCCCGGGCCUU